rnacentral:rRNA from 1 species
ACUCCUACGGGAGGCAGCAGUAGGGAAUCUUCCACAAUGGACGAAAGUCUGAUGGAGCAACGCCGCGUGAACGAUGAAGGCUUUCGGGUCGUAAAGUUCUGUUGUAAGGGAAGAACAAGUGCCGCAGGCAAUGGCGGCACCUUGACGGUACCUUGCGAGAAAGCCACGGCUAACUACGUGCCAGCAGCCGCGGUAAUACGUAGGUGGCAAGCGUUGUCCGGAAUUAUUGGGCGUAAAGCGCGCGCAGGCGGCCUCUUAAGUCUGAUGUGAAAGCCCCCGGCUCAACCGGGGGAGGGCCAUUGGAAACUGGGAGGCUUGAGUAUAGGAGAGAAGAGUGGAAUUCCAGGUGUAGCGGUGAAAUGCGUAGAGAUCUGAAGGAAUACCAGUGGCGAAGGCGGCCCCCUGGACAAAGACUGACGCUCAGAUGCGAAAGCGUGGGGAGCAAACAGGAUUAGAUACCCUGGUAGGUGACAA